rnacentral:rRNA from 1 species
UACGUAGGGGCCUAGCGUUGUCCGGAUUUAUUGGGCGUAAAGAGCUCGUAGGCGGUUCGGCAAGUCGGAUGUGAAAUCUCCACGCUUAACGUGGAGGGGCCAUUCGAAACUGCCGUGACUCGAGUCCGGUAGGGGAGUGUGGAAUUCCCGGUGUAGCGGUGAAAUGCGCAGAUAUCAGGAAGAACACCCGUGGCUAAGGCGGUUCUCUAGUACGGUACUGACGCUGAGACGCGAAAGCGUGGGGAGCGAACAGG